AUAUUUUAUAGUUUAAUUUUAUAUAUAGUAACAUUAUAUAUACCACAUAACAUUUUUGGUUUUAUAUAAUCUUUUCUAAAUUAGGAUGAUUUGAUAUGUUUAAUAUUAGUGGUCUUAAAAAAUAAUAAAUUAAAGAUUUAACUCGUAUUGAAAGGAUGGAUUAAUUAUAUUUUACUUUUUAAUUAAUGUUGAUUCAAAAACUCGUCCCUCUAAAUCCGUCUUGCCAAAAAGCAAUUUAUUUUAUAAAAAUUCUUUCUAAUGCCAUUUUCAUGAUGCCCUUUUUCAAUUUUAUCCUUUUUCUUUAGCCAUUUUCAUUUCUACCCUCUUUAAAUUUUUAAUGACCAUUUUACCCCUAUUUGGAAAUUGUUUUAGGUUAACAAAAUGAAAUAUUAAUAUUUUUCGCCUAAAUAUUAACAAAAUAAAUUAUUAAUCUUUCUUGCCAAAAUUUUCCCGCCAAAAAAAUUUCGAAAAAAUUUCCCGCCAAUUUUUUACAAGGGAUUUUAAAAGGUUUAAAAAAAAAUUACAAG
rnacentral:sRNA from 1 species